rnacentral:rRNA from 1 species
AGCAGCCGCGGUAAUUCCAGCUCCAAUAGCGUAUAUUAAAGUUGUUGCAGUUAAAAAGCUCGUAGUUGGAUUUCUGGUAUUGCGCGCUCGGGCGACGGGAGUAAUCUCGCCUGUCCCGUUGCCGUGCAUGCCAUCCUGCCAGUAAACUCGACGCACUUAACUGGGCGGCGAGCGUUCUGGCUCAUUUACUUUGAAAAAAU